rnacentral:rRNA from 1 species
UACAGAGGUCUCAAGCGUUGUUCGGAUUCAUUGGGCGUAAAGGGUGCGUAGGUGGCGUCGUAAGUCGGGUGUGAAAUUUCGGAGCUUAACUCCGAAACUGCAUUCGAUACUGCGGUGCUUGAGGACUGGAGAGGAGACUGGAAUUUACGGUGUAGCAGUGAAAUGCGUAGAGAUCGUAAGGAAGACCAGUGGCGAAGGCGGGUCUCUGGACAGUUCCUGACACUGAGGCACGAAAGCCAGGGGAGCAAACGGG